GUGCUAGUGGCAUUUUCCAGAGCCUCACGGAACGCAUCAGCCCAUCCCCACCCGGCCUUCUGCAGACACCUGUGCGCGGCUGUGUCUGCCACCCCCUUGCCACGGCGGAGUUUCAGAGUACCCAACCUGCGAGGACCCCCGAGAGAUGCAGGCCGCGACAUCAUUCCCGGGAUCCUGCCGAUCGUCAGGCCUCACUGAGAGAUCGUGGAGAGGCGAGGUCCAUCAGUUGCUCCUCUCUGAGCUGGGCAGAGGUUCUAGAAGGGGAUCCUACUCUUUCUGCCCCUGAAGAUGUAGAGGAAAACCAUCGUUUCACCCAAGACUUGCCCGUGUCUCCUGUCUCAUGUCCUGAGCUGAGCUGGAUGAAGAGAGACAAGAGACACCCCUGCAGCCUUUCAUCUCUCUGAAAUCUGGGGGAAAAAAGAGAUUCUUGCUCAGCAUCACUGCUGCUUCUGUGACAGCACGUAACUUA
rnacentral:lncRNA from 1 species